rnacentral:rRNA from 1 species
UACGGGGGGGGCAAGCGUUGUUCGGAAUUACUGGGCGUAAAGGGCUCGUAGGUGGCCAACUAAGUCAGACGUGAAAUCCCUCGGCUUAACCGGGGAACUGCGUCUGAUACUGGAUGGCUUGAGUUUGGGAGAGGGAUGCGGAAUUCCAGGUGUAGCGGUGAAAUGCGUAGAUAUCUGGAGGAAUACCGGUGGCGAAGGCGGCAUCCUGGACCGGCAUUGACGCUGAUGAGCGAAAGCUAGGGGAGCAAACGGG